rnacentral:rRNA from 1 species
GGAGUUUGAUCCUGGCUCAGGGUGAACGCUCGCGGUGUGGAUAAGGCAUGCAAGUCGUACGCCCAGUGACACUUUUGGUUUCCAAAAGUGUCACUGGACGUGGCAAACGGGGCAGUAACACGUGCCUAACCUACCCUGAAGACGAGGAUAACCCCCGAAAGGGGACUAAUCCUCGAUAGUCCUAUCCUUACACAAGUAAGGAUAGGUAAAGGGGCGCAAGCCCGCUUCAGGAAGGGGGCGCGGCCGAUCAGCUAGUUGGUGAGGUAAUGGCUCACCAAGGCUAAGACCGGUAGGGGGCCUGAGAGGGUGUUCCCCGCCAAGGGCACUGAGACACGGGCCCUACUCCUACGGGAGGCAGCAGCCGAGAAUCUUGGGCAAUGGGCGAAAGCCUGACCCAGCGACACCGCGUGGCGGAAGAAGCCCUUCGGGGUGUAAACGCCUUUUGUGGGGGAUGAAGCCCAGUGCAUUUUUGUGCUGGGUUGACAGUACCCCACGAAUAAGGGACGACUAACUUCGUGCCAGCAGUCGCGGUAAGACGAAGGUCCCGAGCGUUACCCGGAUUUACUGGGCGUAAAGGGCCCACAGGCGGGAGCAUAAGUCUUUCCUUAAAUCCUUGAGCCUAACUCAAGGACUGGGAAAGAUACUGUGCUCCUAGAGACUGCCAGGGGCCGGCGGAACGCACGGUGUAGGGGUGAAAUCCUUUGAUAUCGUGCGGAACGCCGAAGGCGAAGGCAGCCGGCUAGGGCAGUUCUGACGCUGAUUGGGCGAAAGCCAGGGGCGCGAACCGGAUUAGAUACCCGGGUAGUCCUGGCUGUAAACGCUGGGUGCUAACUCUGGGGAGAUUCGACCCUCUCUGGGGUAAAGCUAACGCGUUAAGCACCCCGCCUGGGAAGUACGACCGCAAGGUCGAAACUCAAAGGAAUAGGCGGAAGGCCGCACAAGCGGUGGACCAUGUGGUUCAAUUCGAUAGUAACCGAAAAACCUUACCCAGGCUUGACAUGCUUGCCUUAAUGCUCCUUUCGAAAGAAAGGAGAAGCCGGAUUUUAUCCGGCGGGCAAGCACAGGUGCUGCAUGGCCGUCGUCAGCUCGUGGUGUGAACUGUAACCUUAAGUGGCACAACGAGCGCAACCCCUGCCCUGUGUUACACGUGUCACAGGGGACUGCCGGCUUCAAGCCGGAGGAAGGUGGGGAUGACGUCAGGUCCGCAUGGCCCUUAUGCCUGGGGCGACACACAUGGUACAAUGCCAGGUACAACGGGUUGCGAGGCCGCGAGGCUGAGCUAAUCCCUAAAAGCCUGGCCCAGUUCGGAUUGGAGGCUGAAACUCGCCUCCAUGAAGGCGGAAUCGCUAGUAAUCGCGGAUCAGCUAUGCCGCGGUGAAUACGUUCUCGGCCUUUGCACUCACUGCCCGUCAGGCCAGAGGAGUCAUCUCUACCCGAAAACCUACUUAUGGUAGGGAUAGGGUAGGGGUGAUGACUAGGGCUAAGUCGUAACAAGGUAUCGCUAGGGGAACCUGGCGAUG